UACGUAGGGUGCGAGCGUUGUCCGGAAUUAUUGGGCGUAAAGAGCUCGUAGGCGGCUUGUCGCGUCGGAUGUGAAAGCCCGGGGCUUAACUCCGGGUCUGCAUUCGAUACGGGCAGGCUAGAGUUCGGUAGGAGAGAUCGGAAUUCCUGGUGUAGCGGUGAAAUGCGCAGAUAUCAGGAGGAACACCGGUGGCGAAGGCGGAUCUCUGGGCCGAUACUGACGCUGAGGAGCGAAAGCGUGGGGAGCGAACAGG
rnacentral:rRNA from 1 species